CUUCAGCUUGUUCUUCUCUCUGUCAGACAAUCAUCACCUCAGCAAAGUGUGUUGACUUUGUUGAACGUCUUUCCACAGAUGGCAUCAGGCUUUCCAAUUGCUGUGUUGCACUGUUUGUCCAUUGGACUGCCAGCUGCAUUUUGUUAGGACA